rnacentral:rRNA from 1 species
UACGUAGGGUGCCAGCGUUGUCCGGAAUUAUUGGGCGUAAAGAGCUCGUAGGCGGUCUGUCGCGUCGAUCGUGAAAACUUGGGGCUUAACCCUGAGCUUGCGGUCGAUACGGGCAUGACUGGAGUUCGGCAGGGGAGACUGGAAUUCCUGGUGUAGCGGUGAAAUGCGUAGAUAUCGGGAGGAACACCUGUGGCGAAAGCGGCUCACUGGACCAUUACUGACGCUGAGGCGCGAAAGCUAGGGGAGCAAACAGG